AAAUCUUGACAAACGCUGCUUUUAAAGUAGAGGAAAGUCCAUGCUCGCACUAUCUGUGAUGAUAGUAGUGUUCGUGCAUCGGGAAAAAAUAACCGAUGGUAGUUUAACUAACGGCGUUGAAUUAACCUAAGUCUAUAGAUAUGGUUAUAUUAGACAUAAAGUGCCAAAGAGACGAAUUCUUUUAGAAAUAAAAGAAGUGGAACGCGGUAAACCCCACGAGCGAGAAACCCAAAUUAUGGUAGGGGAACCUAAUAGAGAAGAAACGAAUUUUCUAUGGGAUCGAGUAUUCGAUAGAUAAAUGUUUGUCGCUUCUAAGGAAGUACAGAACAUGGCUUAUAAGA
rnacentral:RNase_P_RNA from 1 species